CAGAAAGACCCUAUGCAGCUUUACUAUAAGCUGGUAUUGGGUUCUGAUUCUUAAUGCGUAGCAUAGGUGGGAGACUUUGAAACGAUGGCUUCGGUUGUCGUGGAGUCGUCAGUGAAAUACCACUCUUUAUUAAUUAGGAUUCUAACCCCGAUCCUGUGAAGCCAGGCGGGGAACAGUGCCUGCGGGUUAGUUUGACUGGGGCGGUUUCCUCCCAAAGAGUAACGGAGGAGCGCGAAGGUACUCUCAGCACGGUUGGCAAUCGUGCGUCGAGCGCAUGGGUAGAAGAGUGCUUAACUGUGAGACACACACGUCGAGCAGAUGCGAAAGCAGGCCCAAGUGAUCCGAUAGUUUAAUGUGGAAUUGCUAUCGCUCAACGGACAAAAGGUACGCUAGGGAUAACAGGCUGA
rnacentral:rRNA from 1 species